ensembl:snoRNA LOC120102629 small nucleolar RNA SNORA3/SNORA45 family
CUAGAGUCACAGCCUGGUACAGCAUAUGUCCUGGUGAAUAGAAUUCUCUGAGAGAAUCUGCUGGUCUUGGUACACUGGAAGGGACACCCAGUGCCUUGUUAGUGACCAGUGCAGAAAAAUGU